AGUGAACGCUGGCGGUAGGCCUAACACAUGCAAGUCGAACUGCAGCACAGGAGAGCUUGCUCUCUGGGUGGCGAGUGGCGGACGGGUGAGGAAUACAUCGGAAUCUACUUUUUCGUGGGGGAUAACGUAGGGAAACUUACGCUAAUACCGCAUACGACCUACGGGUGAAAGCAGGGGAUCUUCGGACCUUGCGCGAUUGAAUGAGCCGAUGUCGGAUUAGCUAGUUGGCGGGGUAAAGGCACACCAAGGCGACGAUCCGUAGCUGGUCUGACUGGAUGAUCAGCCAGCGUGGAACUGAGACAAGGUCAAGAGUCCUACGGGAGGCAGCAGUGAGGAAUAUUGGACAAUGGUCGCAAGCCUGAUGCAGCCAUACCGCGUGGGUGAAGAAGGCAUUUGGGUUGUAAAGCCCUUUUGUUGGGAAAGAAAUCCAGCUGGUUAAUACCCGGGCGGGAUGACGGUUCCCAAAGAAUGAGCAACGGCUAACUUCGUGCCAGCAGCCGCCGUAA
rnacentral:rRNA from 1 species